GAUGAACGCUGGCGGCGUGCUUAACACAUGCAAGUCGAACGGAAAGGCCCUGAUUUUGUGGGGUGCUCGUGAGGCGAACGGGUGAGUAAAACGUGAGUAACCCGUCCUUGACUUAGGGAUAACUUUAGGAAACUGGGGCUCAUACCGGAUAGGAGCUCCUGCUGCACGGUGGGGGUUGGAAAGUUUCGGCGGUUGGGGAUGGAUUCGAGGCUUAUCAGCUUGUUGGUGGGGUAGUGACUUACGAAGGCUUCGACGGGUAGCCGGCAUUGGAGGUGGACCGGCGUCAUGGGGACUGCGAGACGGACCAGAAUCCUACGUGAGGCAGCAGUGGAGAAUAUGGCACAAUGGGCGGAAGCCUGAGACAGCAGCGCCGCGUGCGGGAUGACGUCCUUCGGGUUAUGAACCGCUGUCGCCUGAGACGAAGCGUGAGUGACGGUAAUGGGUAAAGAAGCACCGGCUAACUACGUG
rnacentral:rRNA from 1 species